rnacentral:rRNA from 1 species
AGGCAGCAGUGGGGAAUAUUGGUCAAUGGGCGCAAGCCUGAACCAGCCAUGCCGCGUGCAGGAUGACGGUCCUAUGGAUUGUAAACUGCUUUUGCACAGGAAGAAACAACUCUACGUGUAGAGUCUUGACGGUACUGUGAGAAUAAGGAUCGGCUAACUCCGUGCCAGCAGCCGCGGUAAUACGGAGGAUCCAAGCGUUAUCCGGAAUCAUUGGGUUUAAAGGGUCCGUAGGCGGCCAGAUAAGUCAGUGGUGAAAGCCCAUCGCUCAACGAUGGAACGGCCAUUGAUACUGACUGGCUUGAAUUACUUGGAAGUAACUAGAAUAUGUAGUGUAGCGGUGAAAUGCUUAGAGAUUACAUGGAAUACCAAUUGCGAAGACAGGUUACUACAAGUGGAUUGACGCUGAUGGACGAAAGCGUGGGUAGCGAACAGGAUUAGAUACCCUGGUAGUCCACGCCGUAAACGAUGGAUACUAGCUGUUCGGAACAAUCUGAGUGGCUAAGCGAAAGUGAUAAGUAUCCCACCUGGGGAGUACGUUCGCAAGAAUGAAACUCAAAUGAAUUGACGGA